rnacentral:rRNA from 1 species
UACGAAGGGGGCGAGCGUUGUUCGGAUUUACUGGGCGUAAAGGGCGCGCAGGCGGCUCAUUUUGUCAGGCGUGAAAGCCCCGGGCUUAACCUGGGAACUGCGUUUGAUACGGAUGGGCUAGAGUUCGGGAGAGGAGAAUGGAAUUCCUGGUGUAGCGGUGAAAUGCGCAGAUAUCAGGAGGAACACCGGUGGCGAAGGCGGUUCUCUGGGCAUUACCUGACGCUGAGGAGCGAAAGUGUGGGGAGCGAACAGG